rnacentral:lncRNA from 1 species
CGGUAACAGAUAGGCUGCCCCUCUGCUCACUUUUCUGUUUCACAGACACAAGGUGUUUUUGUCCCAAGAAAGCCUCCUGGCUUAGCUGUGUGACUAAAUGCUAUUUGCCCUCUUCAGUGGACCUCUAUUCUCGAGAUUCCCUUGUUUUCUCACCAUCCCAUUUGAGAUGCUUGUUAGUAACUGUUACAGGUCUUCUUUACCACCAAGGAAAGACAGAAUCCUACUAGAGGCCAGAAAAAGUGUUCCAGAGAUGGAUGGAAGGCCCUCACUUCUGCCUGCUCUCUUCAGACGCCUAAAGGUAGGGAGUGCUCCAGGUCUGCCGCCAGACUCCAAGGGUGGGUCUCUGAGGGGCUGGAAAGUGCCCCACCAAUCUGGCUAAGAUAAGGAAAGGAUAUAAAGAGAAUGUUACAGAAAUUUAAAGGGUUAAGUUGCUGAGAGUUAGUACACGUUACAGAGAAAGAGGUAAAAAAAACAGAAAGCUAGAGAAAAAAAGAGACAAAAAAAAAGAAGAAGUUAGA